UUCCACGAGAAGCGCUUUGUUUCGCUCCGUUCUUCUUAUUCGAAGAUGAGGAUGCACGGCCGAGAAGACGCGAGAAGAUCCGUGGUCGAUGGUGAACGAGAUGUAGUUUUGUGCGAUGAUGCUUUUCUCGGAGAUUCCAGAGCGAUUUGAAUAUAAAAGAAUCGGUACAGAGGAUGUUGCGGCUAACGAGGAAAAUAAAACAGAGCGAUUUAUCGCUAUCAACGUGUGCAGAAACGAGUAAAGAUGAGAGCAUUAGUGUGCUCAUCUUACGAUUCAUAAAUUUCAAUACAUGUGGGUCCACGUGUACCUGAUCAAAGGCUAUUCAGUUCAGUGGUAUAUCUUAAUAGUUCGUAGGUGCGUACGAAUGAUGAUCGUUAACGAACAUGCGGGCACCGUGGUGGGAAUUCCACUCAAUUUAAGUGUAAUUGUUUAAUUGAGGAUCUGCUCGCCGAAGUGCUCGUCGCAUAAAUUGGUCGUUUACCGUUCCGUUUUCUCGUCGCAUA